rnacentral:rRNA from 1 species
CCUACGGGAGGCAGCAGUGGGGAAUCUUCCGCAAUGGGCGAAAGCCUGACGGAGCAACGCCGCGUGAUCGAAUGAAGGCCUUCGGGUUGUAAACAUCUGUUGACAGGGACGAAUAAGCCAUGCGAAUAGUUUGGUGUAUGACGGUACCUGACUAGAAAGCUCCGGCUAACUACGUGCCAGCAGCCGCGGUAAUACGUAGGGAGCAAGCGUUGUACGGAUUUACUGGGCGUAAAGGGCGCGUAGGUGGGUGCGUAAGUCAGGUGUGAAAACCCUGGGCCCAACCUGGGGACUGCACUUGAAACUGGGUGUCUUGAGGGCAGGAGAGGAAAGUGGAAUGCGUGGUGUAGCGGUGAAAUGCGUAGACAUUGGGAGGAACACCAGUGGCGAAGGCGGCUUUCUGGACUGUAACUGACGCUGAGGCGCGAAAGCGUGGGUAGCGAACGGGAUUAGAUACCCUUGUAGUC